rnacentral:lncRNA from 1 species
CCAGCCAAUUAUAUUUCCCAGUUUCCAGGGAAGACAUCCUCUCCACUUCUCCAUUUCUCUUCCUGGAAGGGUUAAUCCCUAGGAUUACAGCUUCUUUAAAAAAGCACAGCUUCCUAGAAGGGGGAUCAUCAUAGAUGUGAUUCAGGAUAUAACCUCCAACCUCUGGGGAAGAUGGAGAGAAGAACCACCAGUCCUGCAGGUGACUUGGGGCCAGGUUCCCCUCACCCAACUUGGUACGGGCAGUGGAUCAUAAAACCUCUUCUUAUUGUCUGAUAAAAGGCUUUUGAGCUCUUCGGGAGCAGCCUUACAAGCUCUUGAAGACAAAGGAGAGAGGUGACAGAGAAAACGCUGGGUGUUCCAUGCUGGGAAUCUACAAGCUGAAUGGAGUAGAGAGAGGAGCGAUCCAGCCUCGGGGCGCAGCUCCUUUCCUUGUGGCCAGGGUUACCCAAGAAGUUCGGAUCCAGCUGGGAUGUGGUCUUCCACGGGGCUCCCAGGAUCCUUGUCUCUCCCACUCACUGCUUCUCGCUGUCUGCUGUCUGAGUGCAGUUUGGGUAUUCCCAGUUCUGCCUGUGACUGACUCUUGGCUUCUCUGACUUCCCCUUUCUUUCUCCUCCCUUUCCUUGCUAAGCAUAUCCACUGUCUGCUUCCAUUUUUACUAGUUAGCCCAAUAAGUUCCAAAAUCCACCUCUAUCUCUGUUGCUAGGCCAACAUUCCCAACAGCCUGCUGUUUUCUGUCAAUUCUGAUGAACUAAUUCAGGUUGAACCUUUUGCUCCACGCCCUCUUAACAAUAUACCCUCUUCUGGAUUUCCCAGUUUUGUAAACUAGACUGUCUUUCAGUGACCCACAUAUGAAACCCCAGAGUCCUCUUGACAUUUUUAUUGGCCCUCACAUCCAAACAGACAUAAGCCAGAGGGACCCAGAGGACAGGCAAGGAAGGUCCAAGCUAUCUCGAGUAUUUGUUGUCUAACCCUGGCAAGUUGCUUAGCCUCUGUAAUCCUGGAUUCCUAAGAGAGUUUUGAUUCACAUUUUUCCAUCUCCUGGCUGCAACACAAAAUCACAGAGCUAAUAAUAUAUUGUUUGAGUAAUAUCCUUUCUCUUUAAGGGUAUUAAAUUGUUUCUUUUAAAUUAUUCUUUAUAAUUGUGGUAAAACACAUAAUAUAGUUUGCCAUCUUAACCUUUUUAAAGUAUACAGUUCAGUGGCAUUAAGUAUAUUUACAUUAUUAUGGAAGCAUCACCACUAACCACCUCCAGAACUCUUUCAUCAUAUGAAACUCUGAUCCCAUUACAUAACUUCUCAUUCUGCUUUCCCCUGGUCUCUGAUACUCCCAUUCCACUCCGUAUGAAUCAGACUACUCUAGGUACCUACUGUAUGUGGGAUCAUACAACAUUUGUUCUUCUGUAACUGGCUUAUUUGACAUAGUAUAACGCCUUCACAGUUUAACUGUGUUGUGAUAUGUAUCAGAAUUUCGUUCCUUUUCACCAGAGAUGUAGCUCAGUGGCACAGUACCUGCCUGGCAAGUGUGAGGCCCUGAGUUUGAUUUCCGGUACCAAAAAAACCAAAAAGAAUUUCCUUCCUUUUUAAGGCUGAGUAAUGUUCCGUUGUAUCUACAAACUGUGUUUUGUUCAUCCAUUCAUUCAUAAGUAGACAUGUGGGUUGAUUUUACAUCCUGGCCAUUAUGAAUAAUGCUGCCGUGAACAGGAUCAUGAAAAUCUUUCCUCAAGAACCUGCUUUCAAUUCUUUUGGCCAUAUAGCCAGGAGUGGAAUUCCUGAAUCUUGUGGUGAUUUUAUAUCUAACUUUUUAAGAAACUAUCUCUCUCUCUCUCUCUCUCUCUCUCUUUUUUUUUUUUUGGUACCGGGGAUCAAACUCGGGACCUUGCACUUGCGAGGCAGGUGGUGGAACCACUGAGCUAAAUCCUUAGCACUUCUUAAGAAACUGCCAUGCUGUUUUCCACAAGAGCUACACCAUUUUACAUUCUCACCAGCAAUGUACAAGGUUCCAAAUUUCUCCACAUUCUCAUCAACAUUUAUCUUCCCCUUCCCCUUCUUCCUCUUCUUCCUCUUCUUCCUCUUCUUCUUCCUCUUCUUCCUCUUCCUCCUCCUCUUCCUCCUCCUCCUCCUCUUCUUCU